rnacentral:rRNA from 1 species
GCCCGAAAGGGAAUCUGAACACAGGUGCUGCAUGGCUGUCGUCAGCUCGUGUCGUGAGAUGUUGGGUUAAGUCCCGCAACGAGCGCAACCCUUGUCAUUAGUUGCCAUCAUUUAGUUGGGCACUCUAAUGAGACUGCCGGUGACAAACCGGAGGAAGGUGGGGAUGACGUCAAGUCCUCAUGGCCCUUAUGGGUAGGGCUUCACACGUCAUACAAUGGUCGGUACAGAGGGUUGCCAAGCCGCGAGGUGGAGCCAAUCCCAGAAAGCCGAUCGUAGUCCGGAUCGUAGGCUGCAACUCGCCUGCGUGAAGUCGGAAUCGCUAGUAAUCGCGGAUCAGCAUGUCGCGGUGAAUACGUUCCCGGGUCUUGUACACACCGCCCGUCACACCAUGGGAGCGGGUUCCACCAGAAGUAGGUAGCCUAACCGCAAGGAGGGCGCUUACCACGGUGGGGUUCGUGACUGGGGUGAAGUCGUAACAAGGUAGCCGUAUCGGAAGGUGCGGCU